UACGAAGGGGGCGAGCGUUGUUCGGAAUUACUGGGCGUAAAGUGUGCGCAGGCGGCUGAGCAAGUCGAGUGUGAAAGCCCCGGGCUUAACUUGGGAAUUGCGCUCGAAACUACUUGGCUGGAGUGUGGCAGAGGAAGGUGGAAUUCCACGUGUAGCGGUGAAAUGCGUAGAGAUGUGGAGGAACACCAAUGGCGAAGGCAGCCUUCUGGGCCAACACUGACGCUCAUGCACGAAAGCGUGGGGAGCAAACAGG
rnacentral:rRNA from 1 species